rnacentral:rRNA from 1 species
UACGAAGGGGGCUAGCGUUGUUCGGAAUUACUGGGCGUAAAGCGUGCGCAGGCGGCUUCUCAAGUCAGGGGUGAAAGCCCAGAGCUCAACUCUGGAAUUGCCUUUGAGACUGAGUGGCUUGAGUACGGGAGAGGUGAGUGGAAUUCCCAGUGUAGAGGUGAAAUUCGUAGAUAUCAGGAGGAACACCGUGAUGGCGAAAGCGGCGCACUGGACCAUAACUGACGCUGAGCGACGAAAGCUAGGGGAGCAAACAGG